GCUUGGCAGUAUUUAAAUGUUGAUUUUCUUCUAUCUUCCUCCGGAGUGCAUUUCUGUGCUUGUCCACGAGAGGUCCCCACAGGCUCCAAACUGGGUUUCAUCGGACUCGGCGCCUCAACUAGCGCGGAGUGCGUAGGCCCCGCCGGAGCGCAGGGCGUGAUGACGUCACGAGGCGCCGGGACGGUUUCGGCCCAAACUCUCCGGGUUUGCCCGCUGCUGAGUCGCCUUCCAGACCCACGAGGCUCACGUUCAACGGCUGCCCAGUGCGUCCCGCGCAAGGGAGGAAAAGCUGCGAACGAGGGAGGUGGAGCUAGGCUGUUGGGCUUAAAAUAAAACCGAACCAUGGAAUCCAGCCUUCCUGAUCAGGGCUCGGGAAUGGAUAACAGGACUUUUGAGUCAUCACUGGAAUAAACUCAUUAAAGCCUCUUCAUAACGCCAUAUCUGUAACUGAAGGUGGGCGAGAAUGGCAAAGGAAGAAAACAGGGCUCCCAGGAAGUAGAGGAUGGCGCCCAUCACCUCCUUGGAUAUGAGGACAUCUUUUGGGAGUGCCUCCAGCGUCACUUCAUGUCCUUUGUCUAGAGCCCCUUCAAGCUGUGAGGAAAGGUG